rnacentral:rRNA from 1 species
AUUGAACGCUGGCGGCAUGCCUUACACAUGCAAGUCGAACGGUAACAGGUCUUCGGAUGCUGACGAGUGGCGAACAGGUGAGUAAUACAUCGGAACGUGCCUAGUAGUGGGGGAUAACUACUCGAAAGAGUGGCUAAUACCGCAUGAGAUCUACGGAUGAAAGCAGGGGAUCGCAAGACCUUGUGCUACUAGAGCGGCCGAUGGCAGAUUAGGUAGUUGGUGGGAUAAAAGCUUACCAAGCCGACGAUCUGUAGCUGGUCUGAGAGGACGAUCAGCCACACUGGGACUGAGAAACGGCCCAGACUCCUACGGGAGGCAGCAGUGGGGAAUUUUGGACAAUGGGCGCAAGCCUGAUCCAGCAAUGCCGCGUGCAGGAUGAAGGCCUUCGGGUUGUAAACUGCUUUUGUACAGAACGAAAAGCCCCGGGUUAAUACCCUGGGGUCAUGACGGUACCGUAAGAAUAAGCACCGGCUAACUACGUGCCAGCCGCCGCCGUAACAC